AGUGAACGCUGGCGGUAGGCCUAACACAUGCAAGUCGAACGGCAGCACAGUAAGAGCUUGCUCUUACGGGUGGCGAGUGGCGGACGGGUGAGGAAUACAUCGGAAUCUACUUUUUCGUGGGGGAUAACGUAGGGAAACUUACGCUAAUACCGCAUACGACCUACGGGUGAAAGCAGGGGAUCUUCGGACCUUGCGCGAUUGAAUGAGCCGAUGUCGGAUUAGCUAGUUGGCGGGGUAAAGGCCCACCAAGGCGACGAUCCGUAGCUGGUCUGAGAGGAUGAUCAGCCACACUGGAACUGAGACACGGUCCAGACUCCUACGGGAGGCAGCAGUGGGGAAUAUUGGACAAUAGGCGCAAGCCUGAUCCAGCCAUACCGCGUGGGUGAAGAAGGCCUUCGGGUUGUAAAGCCCUUUUGUUGGGAAAGAAAAGCAGCAGGUUAAGACCCCGCUGUUCUGACGGUACCCAAAGAAUAAGCACCGGCGAACUUCGU
rnacentral:rRNA from 1 species